rnacentral:lncRNA from 1 species
UCCGGCAAUUUAUUGGUUUUUUUUUUUUCUUCUUUCUUUUUUUUUUUUCUUUUUCCUUUGGUAGUUUUAAUUGGUACUUUGGGCCAGAAGGCGGGGCCUCACUGAGAAAGGAAACUGGCUGAGCAGACACUCUCUGCGUAGGAUCAUCAUGCCGAGCAUAAACUGGACUUUCCCACUUGCCUGGCAGGAGUGAGACAGAUCACUGUGUGCUAAAUGAGCAUCUGAGAGAAGGAAUGAAUGCUGCAUAAUUAAGUACAGUAUUUAAUUUGGCUGUUGUGAAGCAAAAGAAUAAGGAGCGAGGUAUGAAGUACACAAUAAGCAGAGUGAAGUAGAGUGCCAUUUAUCAAACACCGGCCAGAUGUCCUUGGUGUGUGCAUCCCUGUGGAAUCUGGUUCAUCUCCAAUCUGUCAGAAAGCAUCAGAGGUGGUUUUGAGUCCUUAUGUCCUGAGCCUGUGGACAAAAUGUACCUUGUGUGGAGGAAAAUGAGAUCCCGAGUGAAGUCUACAAUGUCAUUGACUCUGAAGAAGGACUCAGAGACCCAUUGGUGUUUAAUGACCCUUACUGGCCUAUGCAAUGGGAACUGGUCAGAGAGGCAAGAAUUACCAGAGAUCAGACUGGCACAUAAACUUAUAUGGAAACUUGAAUGAUGUCAGCUUCUAAAGGACACUGUAUGAAGGACUGGAUUGCCAGUGGUAAGGAGGAGAAAAGGAACAAGAAAAAUUGGAAAGAUAAAUGUGGUCUUUCCAGUGAAGGUGAGCUUGAUUUUUUUUUUUUUUCUGUUGAACUCUGAUAAGACAGCAAAGAUUAGAUUAAUUAAUGAUUAAUAACAAAUUAAAAUUAGUGAGAAUGGAAUAGGGUACCUAGUUCUACCUAGAUAUUUGUAUUUAAAUUUUACUCUGCAUUCAUCAUGUGUCCCAUUUGAAAAUAAUGUUUCUAUGAACUACAGUAUCAGAAGGGUUUGAGUGUAAAAAAGGGCCUUCCUUAUUUAAAAUUUCAUCUAAGACAAGAUCCUAGAACAUUUUAAAGAGAAUUAAGGAUAAAAAGCUAGCCAUUUUAAAAUAAAGUUUCUCCUUUAAUGUAGCCACAAAAUACAAAAUAAACUUGCCUUCUUUCUUAAAUUUUAAUGGAAUUUAGAUGUGUCUCAGAGAGAUUUAUGGCCUUGAGCACUAGUCAUACCCAUGGAAGCAAUAUAUCAGCCUUAGUAGAGCUGAAGAAGUUUAUACACAAGGAAAUAGUACCUUGGUUUGCUGGACUUGGAUUAAUUUCUAACCUUCAGUUUUUUCAAAUUUAUUUUGAUUUUUACUUUUGAAAAAAAAACCCAAAAUUGGAAUUUAAUUUAUAGAAUUUCCACUUUGAAAUGAAUAUGUGAACAUAGAUGCUUUAUGUUUAGAAAUUAUUAUCCAUGGGGCCAUAUAUACAUAAUAUUCUACAAAAGCUGCAAAAAAAGUAAAACAAUGAAAAACUUUAUUAGUUUUAUAUAAACCUAGUCAAAUAUUUUUUAAAAAUAGGAACAAAUUUCACAUGGUUAGAGAGGGUUUUUUUUUUUUUUACUAAAAAUAAAUCUUUUGAACUUUUCUAUGAUAAGGAAUUUAAUUUUAUUUAUAUUAUUUUCUCUUUUAAAUGAUUUCCACGUACACAUAUUAGAGUCAUGCCAUCUAUUUUAAUCAUAAUUCAAGGUUAAAAGUCAUUAAAUCUGCUCACAAUUUUGCCACACAUGGUGCUUGAUCUUAGUUCUAAGAUGUUGACUAAGAUUGUUUAUUUUCUAUUCUGCAUAAAGUUAUUAUGUGUUCAAUACAUUUAACUUUGAAGCCAUUUUCCAAUUAUCUGGCAGUAACCUAUACAGAAUAUUACCUCAUUUCCUUUCUUUCAGUUAUUCCUAUGUAAAUCUCCCAAUAUAGAGAGCACACAAAAAUAAAAUAAAAUUGUUGCUAGGGGCUGUGAAGAGAGGUUAGACCCUGACCUCAAAGAGAUUACUAUCUGCUUUCAGAGUUAAAGUUAAAGCAAAUAAGAAGAAACAAUAAAUGCAAGUGAUACAUUUUUUGUGUGAAUCAUGUUCUAGAGACGUUUGGAAACAAGAGUGUGUAGACAUUGCUCCACCAUCUCUAGGAACCAGGGUAGGCUCCACAAAAGGGCUGAACUUUUGGAAGCUAAGGAAUAAGGAGGAGUUAGAGGCACCCAGAGAGCCUUAUGUUGGACAAUUAAAUGUCAAAUAAGCAGCUGCUAUCAACUUAUUUGCCUUUGCAAAUAAUACUGAAAAUGAUAUUUUUUGCAAAUGAAUUGAACUUACUCAUUUUUUGGUAUAGCCGCAUAUUGUAUUCUCUCAUGAAACACAAGAAAAAAAUAACUAGAUAAUUAUUAUUUGUGAUUAAUAAAAAUAUGUCAUAUAUGUUAAAAAUACAUUUUAUAUGUAGCAAGGUCCAAGGUUACGGAAGUGCUAUCUAUACAGACACAAACAGUUUGAAACAAAAGGGAAUUUAAUUAAGGGAUUUUUUUUAUACCCCAUUAUUGAAUUGCUAUUUACCUGAAUUGAUUUGUUUUCAAAAUAUUGUUAUUACUAUUAUUUCAAAACAUCUGCAUGAAAAGAUACAGAAAAUUGAAAAAGUAUAACAUCCACAAACAAUUUUAAAAAAUACUGAGGAGUUCCUGUGGUGGCACUGUAGAAACACAUCCAACUAGUAACCAUGAGUUUGCGGGUUCAAUCCCUAGCCUUACUCAGUGGGUUAAGGAUCUGUUGUUGCCCUGAGCUGUUGUGUAAGUUGCAGAUGUGGCUUGAAUCCUGCUUUUCUGUGGCUGUGGUGUAGGCAGGUAGCUGUAGCUCCUAUUUGACCCCUAGCCUGGGAACCUCCACGUGCCGCACAUGUGGCC